rnacentral:ncRNA from 1 species
ACCUGAAAGAUGGUGAACUAUGCUUGAGCAGAACGAAGCUAGAGGAAACUCUGGUGGAGGUUCGUAGCGGUGUUGACAUGCAAAUCACUAGUCAGAUUUGUGUAUAGGGGCGAAAGACUAAUCGAACCAUCUAGUAGCUAG